AUGCCAAUGGCACUGCCCGGUAGCUAAAUGCGGAAGAGAUAAGUGCUGAAAGCAUCUAAGCACGAAACUUGCCCCGAGAUGAGUUCUCCCUGACUCCCUGAGAGUCCUGAAGGAACGUUGAAGACGACGACGUUGAUAGGCCGGGUGUGUAAGCGCAGCGAUGCGUUGAGCUAACCGGUACUAAUGAACCGUGAGGCUUAACCUUACAACGCCGAAGCUGUU
rnacentral:rRNA from 1 species